rnacentral:rRNA from 1 species
CCUACGGGGGGCUGCAGUGGGGAAUAUUGGACAAUGGGGGCAACCCUGAUCCAGCCAUGCCGCGUGUGUGAAGAAGGCCCUCGGGUUGUAAAGCACUUUCAGUGAGGAAGAACGCCUGGUGGUUAAUACCCAUCAGGAAAGACAUCACUCACAGAAGAAGCACCGGCUAACUCCGUGCCAGCAGCCGCGGUAAUACGGAGGGUGCGAGCGUUAAUCGGAAUUACUGGGCGUAAAGCGCGCGUAGGUGGCUUGAUAAGCCGGUUGUGAAAGCCCCGGGCUCAACCUGGGAACGGCAUCCGGAACUGUCAAGCUAGAGUGCAGGAGAGGUAGGUAGAAUUCCCGGUGUAGCGGUGAAAUGCGUAGAGAUCGGGAGGAAUACCAGUGGCGAAGGCGGCCUUCUGGACUGACACUGACACUGAGGUGCGAAAGCGUGGGUAGCAAACAGGAUUAGAUACCCCUGUAGUC